rnacentral:rRNA from 2 species
CUCGUAGCUUGCUAUGAGAACAAUUAGUGGCAGACGGGUGAGUAAUGCAUAGGAAUCUACCUAGUAGUAUAGGAUAGCCACUAGAAGUGGUGGGUAAUACUGUAUAAUCCCUGCGGGGGAAAGAUUUAUCGCUACAUGAUGAGCCUAUGUUAGAUUAGCUAGUUGGUGGGGUAAUGGCCUACCAAGGCAGUGAUCUAUAGCUGGUCUGAGAGGAUGAUCAGCCACACUGGAACUGAGACACGGUCCAGACUCCUACGGGAGGCAGCAGUGGGGAAUAUUGGACAAUGGGCGCAAGCCUGAUCCAGCUAUGCCGCGUGAGUGAGGAAGGCCUUAGGGUUGUAAAACUCUUUCAGUGGGGAAGAUAAUGACGGUACCCACAGAAGAAGUCCCGGCAAACUCCGUGCCAGCAGCCGCGGUAAUACGGAGGGGGCAAGCGUUGUUCGGAAUUAUUGGGCGUAAAGGGCAUGUAGGUGGUUUGGUAAGUUAAAGGUGAAAUGCCAGGGCUUAACCCUGGAGCUGCUUUUAAUACUGCCAGACUGGAGUCCGGGAGA